ACACGACUACAUUAGAUACCCGCGUAGUCCCAGCCCUAAACGAUGCGCGUUAGGUGUAUCGGUGACCACGAGUCACCGAGGUGCCGAAGGGAAACCGUGAAACGUGCCGCCUGGGAAGUACAGUCGCAAGGCUGAAACUUAAAGGAAUUGGCGGGGGAGCACAACAACGGGUGGAGCUUGCGGUUUAAUUGGAUUCAACGCCGGAAAUCUUACCGGGACCGACAGCAACAUGAAGGCCAAGCUGAAGACUUUGCCGGAUUAGCUG
rnacentral:rRNA from 1 species